rnacentral:tRNA from 1 species
GCCCGGACAGCUCAGUGGUGGCAGCGCCUCGUCCACACCGAGGAGGUCCCUGGUUCGAUCCCAGGUCCGGGUACCG